rnacentral:misc_RNA from 1 species
AGAAGAGAAAACCAUGUGCAAUCUACAAACGGGCAAAAUUGGUUUCAUAAUUAAUUAACCCUGAAAUUUCCUAUGAUCAUGAUAUGAUUCUAAACAUUGUUGUAUUUGUAACAGAUAUAGUUUGAAGGGAAGCAACAUCUUACACACAAGAAAAGUUAAUGACAUGUGUAAUCAGUUAAAUCACAAAGUGGAUGAGGACCCUAAGAACCAAGCCAACAAGCACGACUAUGAAAUGUUAAAUGAAAUUCAUGUGAUAGAAACAGGAUGGAACUGUUGUGUACAAUGGCUGUCAUACAUGGUUCUCCAGAGUCCAGACUGAUGCAAUGAUGCCAUUACAAAAGUAGAAGCAAACUACAAAAUUAUAAAAAUGGCUGAUGCAGUUUCACAGACUCAUAAAAUAUUGUAAAGAAAAAUGAUAGCCAGCUUAUAGGCUUUAUUAGCAAAGAUGUUAAGAAGUAUAAAAAGGAUGCCUCCUUGCAUGGGACCUCCAGCGUAGUGGACUAUGGGAUGGUCGAAGUAAUUUCACAUUUUCCAUAUAAUCAACUGCCAAAUUGACACUAGCAGUAAAAUGACACAGUCGAUAGAAUGUCAGUGUGCCCCUUGAUGUUUUAUCAUAUGAUAUUUAAA